rnacentral:rRNA from 1 species
AGCUUGCUAUAAUAUAACCUAGUGGCAGACGGGUGAGUAAUGUAUAGGAAUCUACCUAGUAGUACGGAAUAAUUAUUGGAAACGAUAACUAAUACCGUAUACGCCCUACGGGGGAAGAUUUAUUGCUAUUAGAUGAGCCUAUAUUAGAUUAGCUAGUUGGUGGGGUAAUGGCCUACCAAGGCAGUGAUCUAUAGCUGAUCUGAGAGGAUGAUCAGCCACACUGGAACUGAGAUACGGUCCAG